rnacentral:rRNA from 1 species
CAAAGAUUGGGACAACUAGCCGAAAGGUUAGCUAAUACCAAAUAAGCCCCAGGGAGUUCGCUCCUCGAGGGAAAAGGUGGCCUCUGUAUACAAGCUAUCACUUUGAGAUGAGCCCGCGGCCCAUCAGCUAGUUGGCGGUGUAAUGGACCACCAAGGCGAUGACGGGUAGCUGGUCUGAGAGGAUGAUCAGCCACACUGGGACUGCGGCACGGCCCAG